GACGAACGCUGGCGGCGCGCUUAACACAUGCAAGUCGAGCGAGAACCAGGGCUUCGGCCCUGGGGACAGCGGCGAACGGGUGAGUAACACGUGGGUCAUCUGCCCUCGGCACCGGAAUAGCCCGGGGAAACCCGGAUUAAUGCCGGAUGGCCCGACUGCUCUACGGGGCGGUCGGAAAAGGUAGCUUCGGCCUCCGGCCGAGGAUGAGCCCGCGGCGGAUUAGCUAGUUGGUGGGGUAACGGCCCACCGAGGCGACGAUCCGUAGCUGGUCUGAGAGGACGAUCAGCCACACUGGGACUGAGACACGGCCCAGACUCCUACGGGAGGCAGCAGUGGGGAAUCUUGCGCAAUGGGCGAAAGCCUGACGCAGCGACGCCGCGUGAGGGAAGAAGGCUUUCGGGUUGUAAACCUCUUUCAGGAGGGACGAAGCCACUCGGGUGAAUAGCCCAGAGGGUGACGGUACCUCCAGAAGAAGCCCCGGCUAACUACGUGCCAGCAGCCGCGGUAAAAC
rnacentral:rRNA from 1 species